rnacentral:lncRNA from 1 species
GAGAAUGUAGAGGAGCAGAGGGAGAGGGAGAGUAGUUCGGAUUGAGAGAGAAGUCGGAGGUCAAUGAGAGGAAGGGAUUCGGCGUCGAGGUUGUUGUGAGUCGGGUGUUGGUCGCCGGAGACUUGGGAAGAGGAAGUGUUGACGGCGGAUGAGAAGGCGGCCAUGAAAUUGAAUUAGGAGCGCAAAUGAGGCGGUUGACUUGGAGAGAAGAGCGGGAGACGGACGGAGAAAAGAAAUUAAGGCGGUGGUCGCGGAGAUAAAAAAUAAAAUUGGGGGUUUGUUUCGACGGAACGUAGUUUAAACAAAGCAGAGCCCUUGGAUUAAUCUAAGGGCUACAUUUUGCAAGCUACAUCUCAACCUGGCUAUGCACCUCAAAUGUAUAUGUACGUAUUUGUCCAUCAAACACGUAUUUACGAGCAACUCAUACAUAUAUAUAUAUAUAUAUAUAUUCA